GGCAAGACGGAGCGCUGGACAUCUCAGCUCAAUUCACUGCGUUCAAAAAAGGAGAGAGCUCCCGGCGGAUGGCCUCCACUUUAGAUUUAAAGAACUUGUGUUUAUUAUAAGGAAGGACCCUUGAGAGUAACAAUACAUCUCUGAAUACUGCUGUGGAAACACAAAACUUAAACAAGUCUUGUGAGCCGGAAGAGGGAAGAAGGCAGGCUAAGACAGACUCAUAUAUGACCAGUGAAUGGAACAUUCCAACUUAUAGGUUACACCACUGGCAUUGUAAACUGGAACAGCCCAGGAAGGAUCUGCCAUGUGUGUAUACACAUAAAAAUGGAUGAGCAGUUCUCUCUGCAAGCCAGCUCUACUGAAAUGUAGCCAAAUUCUCUACUGAAAGCAGGACAUUUGUAUAUUACUUGAUGGAGCAAGGCCAACAACUGACUGUUAUAAAUGACUGGCACUAGUCAAUGAAGAGGUAAGUAUGAAUUAACUGAAAUUCCCAUAAAGAAACAUUU
rnacentral:lncRNA from 1 species